GGUCCUUGGGGAAGACCUAGGCAUAAGAGUGAAUUCCCCAAGUGGAGUAAAAGGAACGCGCUGGCUACCACAUGUGUCUAGAUCUUUGGAGACACUGUUAAAACUGGAGAGAGAGGAGGUUAUCUUCAGGACCCAGGACAGUUUACUGCAGUCUAUGUGCACAUGGACCACUUGGCCAGUGCAUCAGCAAAUACAGACAUUGCUGGAAGGGCCAAAAAGAUCAAGAAGACUAUGGAGGAUGGAACUUUUGUAGCCUUCUGCCACUUUCUUGCUGAUGUUUUUUUCUGUGAUCAGUCAGUUUAGUUUACUUUUGCAAAGAAAUGAAGUCAUUCUACCCCAGGCUGUCAGUGGGGUUCAAAACCUCAUUGUGAACAUUGAAACAAUGGCAGUGAGACUCAAACCAGGAGGAAGACUCCAGCAACUUGUAACAGACAUGCAGCAGCAAGAAAUGGCACACAGUUCUACAAGUUUCAGAAGUACCAUUCUACAAGUUUCAGGAUGUCCCACUUUCGUAUUGUGAAGCCACAGUGCUGGCAGAAAAUGAGAGCAUCUACAUCAAAUCUCCACAACUGCAUCAGGGAGUAAAAG
rnacentral:lncRNA from 1 species